CUGUUUUAUUUAUAAGCCUCUUGAGGGUAGAUUAUAAACCCACUAGUUUGAACUGUAACAGUAUGAAUAAAUGAUAGGAAAAGUAAACACACACCGUGCUAGCAGAGAAAUGAAUGUAUGACCUGCAUACACUUGAGUAAAGCCCGUUUCUUGAUUUUGCAGCAAGGUACUUCACCUGCAGAAAAACAUUUCAUUUGCUUUGGUUCUGAAGUGGGGAAGUUUUGCAGGGAAAAUUCGUGGGUAGGUUUUUCUGAGGCACUUUGUUCUCUCGUGGGGAAUUUCUUCUGUUGUCCCAACAAGAAGUCAUAGUAAUAAUUUACAUAUUAUUUGUGACAUGUAACUGUGGAAAAACCUGUAAUAUGGCAGAAUUGUAAUAUGGCAGAAUUUUGUGAGACUGAGCAAGUUACACGACUUCUCCGAGCCUUAUUUUUUGGAGCUAUGACACGGGCAGAAUGCUCUCGCAUACGUGCACAUGUUUGUGGGUAAAUUAAGCACACUGGGCGUUUCAAACACCUGGCCCAUAGUUGCAGUCAAUGUGAUUUCUGCAUUUCCCGGGUCCCUCCGACCGGUCCCAGGGACCUGAAUCCUCUACACAGCGCCUUUGGUGCGAGGCCAGGCACGGGGCAGGGCUCUCAGGGCUCACCUCGUGAAUCCUCACAACAAUCCUAGGAGGGCUGCAGCAGCAGUUUGCAUGUGAAGCUAAUGAGCUUUAAGCUCCGGGCCCUCUGUGUACCGAAGACUUCCAAGAGCCAGACUCGAACUGCGUCUUCUCCGUGCGACCUCCUCCCCCUGGCUGUUUUAAGUUUCCAGUCGCACAACACGUGGGUUCGCCGGGCUCGGUGUUAUCACUUCCCUCCUUUGGCACACAGGGUAAAGUUACGUCGCCCAAGAUCUCGCACUUCUGCGCGGCGGAGCGAGCCGCAGGGAGCCCGACUCGGAGCCCACACUCGAGUCGCCACCGCCGACGGCGAUGACCACGGCCUCGAGGGACAGGAUAAGAGGACGGCAAGUCUGCAAGGCCAUCUGUGUACCUGAGAGCCAGAGGGAUCUAAUAGCUG
rnacentral:lncRNA from 1 species